GUGGUGAUAGCGGAGAGGAAACACCCGUUCCCAUCCCGAACACGGAAGUUAAGCUCUCCAGCGCCGAUGGUAGUUGGGGCCAGCGCCCCUGCAAGAGUAGGUCGCUGCUAGGCAUGA
rnacentral:rRNA from 1 species